AAUUCCGCAAAAUAAAAGAAAACAAAAUAACGUGAUAAAAAAAAUACAAACCGAACAGAAGAAGAAUAAAGAUAAAGAAAGAGACAGAGAGAGCAAACAAGUUUCAAAUCUACGAAAGAAACGAAAUAUUUAUUCUAAAAACAAAGGUCUAAUUUAUCGAAAAGAUUCAGAUAGUGACAUAUCAGAUUAUGUAAUGAAUAUGAGCUCAAACAGUUCUAAUGAAAGUAUAAACAGCGAAAACAGAAAAAGGAAGCGCAAAAAUCAAUCAUGUCGUGAAACAUAUAAG